GAUGGACUAGGUCGGGGGGCUAGGCCCCCCUCCUUGCCCGCACUGUGGUCUUGAGCGGGGACCGAACACCGGGGGCGUCCGGUCUGACGGACGUGGACCCCGUGAGCUAACGUGGAAGCCUCGUCCCACGGGGACGGCGGUCCGCGUGGUCGCACCUGCAGGGGUGCGCCCACGUGGUUAAACGAUGGCACUCCGCCAGGCACGGAAGUGAGCAGCGGACCAUCGAACACCCGUCGCUCGUGGGGUCGCGGGGUGGAGGAGGCAAACGGGAUUACCCGCGUCCGAACGCCGGGCCAUCCUGGCUGUCCGUUC
rnacentral:SRP_RNA from 19 species